rnacentral:misc_RNA from 1 species
GAUGAAGAACGCAGCAAAAUGCGAUACUUGGUGUGAAUUGCAGAAUCCCGUGAACCAUCGAGUUUUUGAACGCAAGUUGCGCCCGAAGCCUUUUGGCCGAGGGCACGUCUGCCUGGGCGUCACGCAUCGCGUCGCCCCCCACAAUUCUCCGUAAAGGGAACGUGUGUUUUGGGGGCGGAUAUUGGUCUCCCGUGCUCAUGGCGUGGUUGGCCGAAAUAGGAGUCCUUUCGAUGGACGCACGAACUAGUGGUGGUCGUAAAGACCCUCGUCUUUUGUUUCGUGCUGUUGCUCGCAAGGUAAACUCUUUAAAAACCCCAAUGUGUCGUCUCUUGACGACGCUUCGACCGCGACCCCAGGUCAGGCGGGACUACCCGCUGAGUUUAAGCAUAUCAAUAAGCGGAGGA